CAUCAUGAGACUCAAAAUAUUCCUAUUUUACUCCCUCCUAGCUAGGGUAAAACUAUUCAAAUGAUAAAGUACGUAUUACUAUGACGAUAAAAAUUACCUAACUUUUUCACUUCAAAAAAUAAAAAGUUGAUAGAAAACAUCAUAAAAUAAUCAUCCACCCAGAACGACUACGUGCAAAAGAAUUUGAGAGAAAAUAUCAAGUUUUAGGUGUUCUCAGAAGAACUAUAAAGGCCUCAGUAGUAAUAAUAAUAAUAAUAAUAAAGUAGUCGGGGUCCAAUAUUUUAAAAUAUGAGGCUAUAAAUAGAGUUAAUUCCCACCCUUAGCCUUUCUCAUCCAAAUUCCAAACAAAAGUUCAUUAGCUUAACUUGUUAAAAAUGGGAUACUCUUUCUCAAAGGUGGCUUUUUUGUUUUGCUUCGUGGUUGCCAUGGCUCUUCUGAUAUCGAUUGAGGUUUCGGGUCAGAACUCAGAUGAUAACUACGAUUCCGUUCAACAGUCAGCCCCAUAUUCGGCUGGACAGGAACAUGGUGGUGAUUCUAGCCCUAUAUAUCCCGGAAAAGGGUAAUUGAGUGACCAUGCCUCACUAGCUCCCAGCUUUCAAAUAAAAUGAUUGUGUACAAGACUCCUUCUGUCGCAACUAUUCAACAUAUUUGAUUAAGUAGAUCAAAGAGAAGUAUUUUGUCACUUCUUGUGUCAUAGAAAUAUACGCUAGGACAUAGUUGUUUAUAAGGUUGAUUCUUAUACAUCUAUCAUGUAUGUAAUGAUUUUCCAUCUAUAUAUGUACUUUGCAAAUGUAAUUUCAAAUACUCAAUGUCAAGUUUCUAUUUUUAGUUAAUUUAA